rnacentral:rRNA from 1 species
AUUGAACGCUGGCGGCAGGCUUAACACAUGCAAGUCUACCGAGUGGCGGACGGGUGAGUAAUGCUUGGGAAUCUACCUGAUGGAUGGGGAUAACUACGGGACACUGUAGCUAAUACCGCGUACCCUAGUAUGAGCCCAAGUGGGCUUAGGUAGUUGGUGAGGUAAAGGCUCACCCAGCCGACGAUCCCUAGCUGGUCUGUGAGGAUUAACAGCCACAAGGGGACGUAGAAACGGACCAGACUCCUACGGGAGGCAGCAGGGGGGAAUAUUGCACAAUGGGCGCAAGCCUGAUGCAGCCAUGCCGCGUGUAUGAAGAAGGCCUUCGGGUUGUAAAGUACUUUCAGCGAGGAGGCGUUACUCGCAGAAGAAGCACCGGCUAACUCCGUGCCAGCAGCCGCGGUAAUAC